GUGGGGAAUAUUGGACAAUGGGCGAAAGCCUGAUCCAGCCAUGCCGCGUGUGUGAAGAAGGCCUUUUGGUUGUAAAGCACUUUAAGCGAGGAGGAGGCUACUGAGAUUAAUACUCUUGGAUAGUGGACGUUACUCGCAGAAUAAGCACCGGCUAACUCUGUGCCAGCAGCCGCGGUAAUACAGAGGGUGCGAGCGUUAAUCGGAUUUACUGGGCGUAAAGCGUGCGUAGGCGGCUUUUUAAGUCGGAUGUGAAAUCCCUGAGCUUAACUUAGGAAUUGCAUUCGAUACUGGGAAGCUAGAGUAUGGGAGAGGAUGGUAGAAUUCCAGGUGUAGCGGUGAAAUGCGUAGAGAUCUGGAGGAAUACCGAUGGCGAAGGCAGCCAUCUGGCCUAAUACUGACGCUGAGGUACGAAAGCAUGGGGAGCAAACAGGAUUAGAAACCCGUGUAGUCC
rnacentral:rRNA from 1 species